UACGGGGGAGCAAGCGUUGUUCGGAUUUACUGGGCGUAAAGGGCGCGUAGGCGGCCUGUGCAAGUCAGUUGUGAAAUCUCCGAGCUUAACUCGGGACGGUCAACUGAUACUGCUCGGCUAGAGUGCGGAAAGGGCAACUGGAAUUCUUGGUGUAGCGGUGAAAUGCGUAGAUAUCAAGAGGAACACCUGCGGCGAAGGCGGGUUGCUGGGCCGACACUGACGCUGAUGCGCGAAAGCUAGGGGAGCGAACGGG
rnacentral:rRNA from 1 species